rnacentral:rRNA from 1 species
GAGUUUGAUCGUGGCUCAGAUUGAACGCUGGCGGCAUGCCUAACACAUGCAAGUCGAACGGCAGCACUGGGAGCUUGCUCCCUGGUGGCGAGUGGCGGACGGGUGAGUAACGCGUAGGAAUCUGCCUCAUAGCGGGGGACAACUCGGGGAAACUCGAGCUAAUACCGCAUACUACUCGAGAGAGGAAAGCAGGGGACCUUCGGGCCUUGCACUAUGAGAUGAGCCUGCGUUGGA